UACAGAGGGGGCAAGCGUUAUUCGGAAUUAUUGGGCGUAAAGGGCGCGUAGGCGGCCUGACAAGUGGAAGGUGAAAUCCCUCGGCUUAACCGAGGAACUGCCCUCCAAACUGUUUGGCUUGAGACCGGGAGAGGUGAGUGGAAUUCCCAGUGUAGCGGUGAAAUGCGUAGAUAUUGGGAGGAACACCAGUGGCGAAGGCGGCUCACUGGCCCGAUACUGACGCUGAGGCACGAAAGCGUGGGGAGCAAACAGG
rnacentral:rRNA from 1 species